AAAAAAAAAAGAACAAAAAACUAUAACAAAAGCAAAAAAAAUUAAAAAUAUAAAUAAUUACAAGAAAGUAAAAUGUAAAUUCGCGUGGAACCUUAGCGUUAAAGUUAAUAACUUAAUUUGAUCAGUUAGUACAACAAAACAUUUAAGAAUUAUCAAAUUGUGAAGGAAAUGUAGAAAGCAGGUAAACACACACACACACAGAAACACGCCCACAGAGUAAAAGAGAGAAAUGAAUGAAACGAACGUAGGAAAUCUUAGCAAAAAAUUUGAAUUUGAAAGCGUGAAAGAAAUGCUAAAUAUCGCAUAGAAGACUUAAGUUCUAAAUAGGCAUAGAAUUUGUUUAGUUUUUGUUUUUAUAGGCGCAUUUACAUCAAAAACCCUUAAAAAUGAGAAAUAUAACAACAACAGCAGCAGAAGCAAAAAGAAUUUAAGUUUUUUACACACAAACAAAUACACACAAACACACAUAUAUAUAUAUAUAUAAAACGUACAAGGGAUUACAUAGUUUGAAACCGCGAAUCGUAUUACUAAAUAUACAUACAUAUACAUAAAUAUAUUUCUUUAUAAAGAAUAUGUGAAGAUGUAUUUGUUGAGAGAAGAUUGAAGCGGCCCAUCCAAAAAAUAACUCCUCCACGUUGCAACUCGGCCAAAAGCAAAGAUUGGUUCACAAAGUUGUGGAAUUUUUAAUUUUUAUUUUCGGUUCGAAGUUCAAACCAUUUUUUGUAGUUUACAUGCAUUUUUGUGAUCUAAUUUGUGUAAUUAUUAUAAAC